UUGGCCACGGACCCAGAACCCAGUCUAGUAUCCAAGUCGGAACCAGUUUGGCGAGGGACCCAGUCCUUCCCCGAACCCAGUUCUGUUUCCAAGUCGGACCCAGUUUGGCCACGGACCCAGCUCUGUUUGCAAGUAGGAGCCAGUUCAGCUCCGGCUGGUUUCCGAGAACGACACGGACGUGCUCGGGGCCUAAAGCUCCUACGGAGGCGCCUUGGAGCUGGGGUCUGAGAGCGACUCACCCGCAACCCGCAGAGGCCGCAGAAAGCAGCAGCUCCGGGGGCUCCGCAGUGGCCUGAUCUCAGCUAGCCGUUAAGGAGGGAGAUGAUCUGUGCAGAUUGAUUGACCUACCAGAGAGCAGAAUUGAAGAAUGUUGUGGUUUUACUUGAGAGGGAGACACAUUGGCCUCCUGCCAGUUCUUCAAAAGGUUCCUUCCAGCCUCAUGGAAUGUGGUCGCCUCUCCCUGGAAUGCUGUUCCCCCUGC